CCCCCANCGCCAGCGCGCGCGGCCCCGCCUCGCNCCCUCGGCAUCAAAUGAACCCCGGCGCGGAACGNGUCAAGGAAACNCANCAAACGAUCUCCCCGCCGUGGCCCCGGAGACGGUGCUAGCCGCGGCGGCUAUGUCGUGCUUGGUAUAAGUCUAAANCGACUCUCGGCAACGGAUAUCUCGGCUCUCGCAUCGAUGAAGAACGUAGCGAAAUGCGAUACUUGGUGUGAAUUGCAGAAUCCCGUGAACCAUCGAGUCUUUGAACGCAAGUUGCGCCCGAAGCCGUCAGGCUGAGGGCACGUCUNCCUGGGCGUCACACACUGUUGUCCCCCCCACAAAUCCCCUCGUCACUCUCCCCCGAGUGCCCGGGGAGCGUGGGGGGCGGAUGAUGGCCUCCCGUGAGCCUUAGCUCGCGGNUGGCCCAAAGUUGAGUCCUCGGUCACGGUUGCCGUGGCAAAAGGUGGUUGUCCGUCACUCGGUGCCCCGUCGCGCGCGCCGGUAUCCAA
rnacentral:rRNA from 1 species